AAUGUGGUUCUCAUCCCUAAAUAUGAGUAUCAUAGAUUACUCACUGAAUACACCUAUUCUACUAAGUGUACUGUGUCUGAUACUGACCCUACAGAUAAGAUUAGAAGAGAAGUCUUUCGAUUAUGCAACCACCUGGAAGCUCCGCCCUUCAUUCGCAAAUGCGGACAAACUUAUAAUGCCGCUCCUAGACUGUUCGGUUAUAUCAAGUGCCACAAGCCUUCCUUAGAGAUCCAACCUAUCAUUGAAAAAUACACCACCCCAACUUACAAGUUGGAGAAAUCAUUAGCCGAGUUCAUUAAAGCCAAGAACGAUGGGUAUCCACUCACUGUAGUUCGUUGGAGUUUAAGCGGAAACUUGGAAAGAUCAGUCCACAUCCUAACAACGUUCUAGUCACACUAGAUUUUAAAUCCCUCUACCCUAGCCUCUUAUUGGAGCCUGCUGUCUUAG
rnacentral:lncRNA from 1 species